rnacentral:lncRNA from 1 species
GCUUGCACAGCAGGGAAAGGCAGAGCAUUAAUGAGAGUAUCAUUUGUUCGGUCACUUCUGCAUUGUGAGCAGCAGCUCUGAAGCACUUCUCAAAGUUUUGUUGCAGAAUAAUACUGACUGACUUCCAGCCUAUGCAAGAUGUAAGCCUGGAAGCAGCAAGGAUAUAUUUACUUUUGCAGGAGCAAGAAGUUACAUGAAAAGAUGGAGACAAAGGGCUGUGAUCCAUGACAGUUAAGUUAGAAGAAAUCUUUCUCCGCUGGUUUGGAUUAGAGCUGUAGUAGCUCGCACGGUGGAUCUGUCCUGACUUUUUUUUUUUUCAGUGAGCGAAGUUUGUACUGUGGUGGGAAGGCAGAAGAAAAGUUGCAAGGACUUAGCACUCACAGACAAGAGCUUCUAUCAGCAGGGCAAAGGGAUUGCCCUGAGCAGAGCAGCAAGUGCUGAACCUUGAGGCACUGAUUGGCCUUAGUGGCCCUGACCAGCCCCACCUGGGCCCAGGGCUGCUAUUUAACAGUCCCAGCACCACCCCCCUCAUGCUGCUCCCACCAGCAGGACAAAGAAGCAGCUUCAGGGCUAUCUCUACAGUGCCUUAGAAGAGUGAGCUGCUACAGGAUGAAAAAGAGUGGCUCCAGGUGCUGGAAGCCGAGGGCUACCUGGUCGCAAAACUCUGGGAACCUAGAGACUUCAAUGAGGAGGUGUAUCUACAUGCUUGUCUGGUCUUGUGUGAGGACUGGUGCCACUGGUGUAGCAGCAGAAACAGAUAAAGGUGGAUGUGAAAAGAGGAAGGGAUUCACAAUGCACUUCAGACUCAGGUUGGAAAGUUUUAUACUCUUCAGUUUUCUUUUUGGCUUCCAUCCAGAGCUGUUCCAGUUUGUAAGUCACUUACAAGAAAGAGAUGGAAGAAUGUUUUUCCACUCUCUGCUCCAAAUAACAGAAUUUACAGAUCUUUUCUGUUAGAAAAUAAGUAAUAAUAAAAUUCUAGGUAUUUAAACA